CACUCCCUGGAGCCAGAGAUGGUAUAUGUGCAGGGACCAGAUCCAUUAACCGAUAUAUCCAUGGUCUCAGAGUUCGUCGGUUUGUAGUCCACGUAGUAUUCCUGUAAAGGGGAAUUCAUCUGUCUCUCCGACUCCCUCGCCUUUUUCCGUCUCCUCUUCAUAAGUGAGUGCUGUUGGAGUUGUUUCAUGCUGGCUGGGUACCGUUUCCAAGACACAUAGAUCACCAGGAGAAUCAUGGCCACGGAGAGGAACAGAGCCACGCUCCCUGCGAUGAUUUUGUGAAACGACACGUGCUCGUACUCAUGAUCCGUACCUGGAAUUUGAAAGCCCGGGGAUGGGCUCACUGCCUCCAGGGUGGCUGGGACUGCAUCCGGUUUGAAGAUGGUAGGUUUGGGGAUGAACGGGGGCUUCUGGGGAGUUUGAGGCGCCAGAUGUGAUCGUUCUGUGUUGACCACCUGGACAUCAGAGCAGAUGUUGUAAGUCUCCACGGCAUCGCUAACCUUCUCACCCUGUAUGUGCUUAGGCCCUGCACAUAUCAUGGUACUUUCUUUAUUCCCUUUGAAAUUCUUCAGCCAGUAGAAUAGAGGACAGAUGCUCCGACUACAUUCCCACAUAUUUCCAGACAAGGUGAUGGAUAUUAAGGAUAUCCAUGCAUUGACAGUCUCCUGGGAGACAUUGGUGAGCUUGUUGGAAUCCAAAUUCAAUUUUUGCAAAUUGGGGAGGCAUUUAAAUGUGCCAGGCUCGAUUGCUUGGAUGUCAUUCCCUGAUAAAUCCAAGGUGUGCAAGGAACUCCAGGUCCAUGUUAGGCCUUGACUGACAGAGCGGAUCCUGUUCCAUUGCAGGUAGAUGGAUCGCAGGUUGAAGAGACGAGGAAAAUGAGCAAAGUUGAUCUUUGAAAACUGAUUAUGCUCCAGGUGGAGCUCUUUUAACUUCAGAAGACCGGCAAACGCGUUUCGGGAUAAGCUUCGGAGCCGAUUAUAACCCAAAUCCAGAAAGUCAAGGUUCCGGCAGUCUUGAAAAACCCGUAUGGGCACGGUCUUGAGAGAAUUAGAUCGCAAGUGCAAAAUGAUGAGUUUCCGGAGGCCUUUAAACUGCUCAGACUGUAAGGUCUGAAGUUUGUUGUAGGAGAGAUCCAGGUUGCGGAGGUUGGGGACUGGGUGAAAUGUUUUAUUGUGCAGAUAGGUAAUUUUGUUGGAGCUUAGAAUUAAUUCUUUCAGUCUGCGGAUCCCUUGAAAGGCAUCUUCGUCCACUGAGCUAAUGUAAUUAUGGUCAAGAUAAAGCCAUAUAAGCUGGUUAAGGCCGGCAAACUGAUUGGAUUUGAGUUUCUGAAUGCUGUUGAACCUUAAGGAUAAACCUUGUGACCCUCCAGAAAUGUUCUCAGGGAUGUCUGCGAAGGCGUGAGACUCACAGUAUACAAUCUUGCCAUCGCAUCUGCAGUUCUUUGGGCAAGCUCUCUGAGCCCCCGUCAGCAUAACCAGCAGCAGGGUGGGAAAUAGCACCAGAAACACACUCAUGCCUUUCAGCUGCGUGAUUAGACGGAAACCUACAAGAGCAAAGAGAACACAGAUGUACCCUGUCAAACAGAAGCCACACAGCACCACAGGCUCGUCCAGAUCAGGGGUGUCACACUGACAAACAGUCACUAUUGGUACCCCUGGCUCACCCAGAGCAGGGAUGUCCUGUCUUAACGGGAAAAAAAAAAAGAUGGUUAAGUGGAAAGUCAGCUUGAGUCCAUCUCACACCCUGAUGGGACACCCAAGAGGAAGAGUCUCAUUGCAUGCUUAGCUAAAAAUAGCAAAAUGAUAAACAAAAGUCAACAAAAUAUGGGAAUAACAGCACUCCUAAUCUUUAUUCUGGAUCCUGUUGAAAAAGAGGUCUCCGAAUCAUACAGACACUAUGGAUAUCAACAUGUCAGCUCCUCAAG
ensembl:antisense